GCGGGCGUAAUUCAAUGGUAGAAUAGGAGCUUGCCAAGCUUCUUACGUGGGUUCGAUUCCCAUCGCCCGCUCCA
rnacentral:tRNA from 1 species